rnacentral:rRNA from 1 species
GAUAGAAUUAUUUUAUUAUUUUUAAAAAUUUAUAUUAUUUUUAAAAAAAGAAAUUAUAUUUUUAUUAAUUAUAAGAAAAAAUAAUUAUUAAUUAUAGAUUAAAGUAUUGUAAAAGAAAAUUUAUUUAUUAUUAAAAAAGAAAAAUUUAAUUUUUGUACCUUGUGCAUCAGGGUUGAUUAAAAAAUAAUUAUAUAUUUUAAUAUUCUCGAAUUUAAAAGAGCUAAUUAAUAAUAAAUUUUAUUGUUAAAUAAAUAUUUAUAAUUUUUAAUUAGAAAUGAAACGUUAUUCGUUUUUAAAUUUAUCUAGUUUUUAAAUAAAUAAAUUUAAUUUAGUUAUUUUAAGUUAAAAAAUUAAUUUUUUAAUUUUUUAUUUAGAAUAGUUAAUUUUUUUAGGGAUUAGCUUAAAAAAAAAUUUUUAUAAUAAUUUAAAUUUUUAAAUAAAUUAUAGGAUUAUAAUUUUCUAUAAAUAAUAAAAUGUUAUAAUUAAUUAUUUGUUUAAUAUUAUUUUUAUUUUAUUUAAAUUUUUUAUUUAAAUAUAAAUUUUAAUUUAAUAAGUUUUGUAAUAAUGAUUAAAUUAGUAUAAAUUAAUGUAAAGUUAAUUUUUAAUAUUAAAGGUUAGUUUAAGGAACUCGGCAAACUUAUUUUUCACCUGUUUAUUAAAAACAUGGCCUUUUGAUUAUAAUUUAAGGUCUAAUCUGCCCACUGAGAUUUUAAAUGGCCGCGGUAUUUUGACCGUGCAAAGGUAGCAUAAUAAUUAGUUUCUUAAUUAGAAGCUGGAAUGAAAGAUUGAAUGAGAAAAUAACUGUCUCAAAUUAAAUUUUUUAGAAUUUUAUUUUUAAGUUAAAAAGCUUAAAUUUAUUUAAAAGACGAGAAGACCCUAUAGAGUUUUAUUUAAUUAUUUUUUAAAAAAAUAUAAAUUUUAAUAUUUUUUAAUUUUUAAUUAAAUUUUGUUGGGGAGAUAGAAAAAUUAAAUAAACUUUUUUUAUAUAUUUACAUUA